GCCGGGGACCACACAGAGAAUAACUUGUUUGACUACCAGUAUUCUUGGAUGCAGAAGUGCUGAAGAUGAGCACACACACGUACGGAGAAUUUCUGGAGAAUUCAGCUGCUCAGAACAAGAACUGAGAUCCAGAGAGAUGAUGACUUUGCCCAUAGACCAAACAAAGAAAUACAUGUUUCAGUCCUGUGUCCUCCUGCUAUGUGUGUCCGGAAUUGGUGGGUUCUUGGUCUCACUGACUUCAAGAAUGAAGCUGCGGACCCUCGCGGUGAGUGUUACAGUUCUUAAAGGCAGUGUGUCCAGAGUUUGUUCCUACUGAUGUGUGGAUGUGUUAGGAGUUUCUUCCUUCUGGUGGGUUCGUGGUCUCGCUGGCUCAGGAGUGAAGCUGCAGACCUUCGCGGUGAGUGUUACAGCUCUUAAGGCAGCGCCUCUGGAGUUGUUCAUUCCUCCCAGCGGGCUCGUGGUCUCCCUGGGCUCAGGAGUGAAGCUGCAGACCUUCGCGGUGAGUGUUACAACUCAUAAAGGCAGCGUGGACCCAAAGAGUGAGAAGUAGCAAGAUUUAUUGCGAAGAGCGAAAGAACAAAGCUUCCACAAUGUGGAAGGAGACCCCAGCAGAUUGCCACUGCUGGCUUGGGCAGCCUGCUUUUAUUCUCUUAUUUGGCCCCCACCCACAUCCUGGUGAUUGGUAGAGCCCAGUGGUCUGUUUUGACAGGGCGCUGAUUGGUGCGUUUACAAUCACCGAGCCAGACACAAAGGUUCUCCAGGUCCCCACUAGAUUAGCUAGAUACAGAGUGUCUAUUGGUGCAUUCACAAACCCUGAGCUAGACACAGGGUGUUGAUUGGUGUGUUUACAAACCUUGAGCUAGAGACAGAAUGCCGAUUGGUGUAUUUACAAUCCCUGAGCUAGACACAAAGGUUCUCCACGUCUGCACCAGACUCAGGAGCCCAGCUGGCUUCACCCAGUGGAUCCCACACUGCGGCUGCAGGUGAAGCUGCCUGCCAGUCCCUCGCGGUGCGCCUGCACUCCUCAGCCCUUGGGUGGUCGAUGGGACUGGGCGCUGUGGAGCAGGAGGUGGCGCUUGCUGGGGAGGCUUCUGCGGCACAGGUGCCCACGGAGGGGGUGGGAGGCUCAGGCAUGGCGGGCUGCAGGUCCGGAGCCCUGCCCCUUGGGAAGGCAGCUAAGGCCCCGGGAGAAAUCGAGCACAGCGCCGGUGGGUCGGCACUGCUGGGGGACCCAGUACACCCUCCGCAGCCACUGGCUGCUAAGCCCCUCAUUGCCUGGGGCCGGCAGGGCCUGCCGGCUGCUCCGAGUGCGGGCCGCCAAGCUCACACCCACCCGGAACUCCAGCUGGCCUGCAAGCGUCGCGUGCAGCCCUGGUUCCCGCUCGCGCCUCUCCCUCCACACCUCCCUGCAAGCUGAGGGAGCCGGCUCUGGCCUUGGCAAGCCCAGAAAGGGGCUCCCACAGUGCAGCGGUGGGCUGAAGGGCUCCUCAAGUGCCGCCAAAGUGGGAGCCCAGGCAGAGGAGGCACCAAGAGCGAGUGAGGGCUCUGAGGACUGCCAGCACGCUGUCACCUCUCACUAGUAGCUAUCCUACUUUUAAAUAAAGAAUUAGGCUGGGCACGGUAGCUCACGCCUGUAAUCCCAGCACUUCCGGAGGCCAAGGGGGGUGGAUCACCUGAGGUCAGGAAUUCGAGACCAGCCUGGCCAACAUGGCAAAACUCCAUCUCUACUAAGAAUACAAAAAUUUGCCAGGCAUGGUGGCAGGUGCCUGUAAUCCCAGCUGCUUGAGAGACUGAGGUGGGAGAAUCACUUGAACCCGGGAGGCGAAGGUUGCGGUAAGCCAAGAUUGCACCACGGUGCUUCGGCCUGGGCGGCAGAGUGAGACUCUGUUUC
rnacentral:sRNA from 1 species